rnacentral:rRNA from 1 species
GCGUGCUAUACAUGCAGUAGAACGCUGAAGAGAGGAGCUUGCUCUUCUUGGAUGAGUUGCGAACGGGUGAGUAACGCGUAGGUAACCUGCCUUGUAGCGGGGGAUAACUAUUGGAAACGAUAGCUAAUACCGCAUAACAAUGGAUGACACAUGUCAUUUAUUUGAAAGGGGCAAUUGCUCCACUACAAGAUGGACCUGCGUUGUAUUAGCUAGUAGGUGAGGUAAUGGCUCACCUAGGCGACGAUACAUAGCCGACCUGAGAGGGUGAUCGGCCACACUGGGACUGAGACACGGCCCAGACUCCUACGGGAGGCAGCAGUAGGGAAUCUUCGGCAAUGGGGGCAACCCUGACCGAGCAACGCCGCGUGAGUGAAGAAGGUUUUCGGAUCGUAAAGCUCUGUUGUAAGUCAAGAACGGGUGUGAGAGUGGAAAGUUCACACUGUGACGGUAGCUUACCAGAAAGGGACGGCUAACUACGUGCCAGCAGCCGCGGUAAUACGUAGGUCCCGAGCGUUGUCCGGAUUUAUUGGGCGUAAAGCGAGCGCAGGCGGUUUGAUAAGUCUGAAGUUAAAGGCUGUGGCUCAACCAUAGUUCGCUUUGGAAACUGUCAAACUUGAGUGCAGAAGGGGAGAGUGGAAUUCCAUGUGUAGCGGUGAAAUGCGUAGAUAUAUGGAGGAACACCGGUGGCGAAAGCGGCUCUCUGGUCUGUAACUGACGCUGAGGCUCGAAAGCGUGGGGAGCGAACAGGAUUAGAUACCCUGGUAGUCCACGCCGUAAACGAUGAGUGCUAGGUGUUGGAUCCUUUCCGGGAUUCAGUGCCGCAGCUAACGCAUUAAGCACUCCGCCUGGGGAGUACGACCGCAAGGUUGAAACUCAAAGGAAUUGACGGGG